GGUGUAAAGCUCCGGCGGAAUAAGAUCGGCCUUGCUCCUAUCAGCUUGUUGGUGAGGUAAUGGCUUACCAAGGCGACGACGGGUAGUUGGUCUGAGAGGAUGAUCAGCCACAGUGGCACUGAGACACGGGCCACACACCUACGGGUGGCAGCAGUUGGGAAUAUUGCGCAAUGGGCGACAGCCUGACGCAGCGACGCCGCGUGGUCGAAGAAGCCCUUCGGGGUGUAAAGACCUUUUUUAGGGGACGAUUGUGACGGUACCCUAAGAAUAAGAGCCUGCUAACUACGUGCCAGCAGCAGCGGUAAUACGUAGGGCUCAAGCGUUGUCCGGAAUUAUUGGGCGUAAAGAGUAUGUAGGUGGAACUUCCAGUCAAAUUUAAAAGGCCCGGGCUUAACUCGGGUUCUGGAUUUGAAACUAAAGUUCUUAGAGUUUAACAGGGGCAAGUGGAACUCCCGGUGUAGCAGUGAAAUGCGUUGAUAUCGGGAAGAACACCAAUGGCGAAGGCAGCUUGCUAGGUUAAUACUGACACUGAGAUACGAAAGCGUGGGGAGCGAACGGGAUUAGAUACCCCGGUAGUCCACGCCGUAAACGAUGCAGACUAGCUAUCAGAAGUAUCGACCCUUCUUGUAGCGAAGCUAACGCGUUAAGUCUGCCGCCUGGGAAGUACGGUCGCAAGACUAAAACUCAAAGGAAUUGACGGGGACUCGCACAAGCGGUGGAGCAUGUGGUUUAAUUCGACAAUAAGCGAAGAACCUUACCAGGGCUUGACAUCUAGAGAACCCUGCAGAAAUGCGGGGGUGCCCGCAAGGGAGCUCUAAGACAGGUGCUGCACGGUUGUCGUCAGCUCGUGCUGUAAAGUGUGGCCUUAAGUGGUCCAACGAGCGAAACCUGUGUUCUGUUGUUGAUUUUCACAGGAGACUGCCUCGGUUUACGGGGAGGAAGGCGUAGAUGACGUCAAGUCAGCGUGGCUCUUACACCCUGGGCUACACACGUGCUACAAUGGCAAAAAUAACGAGUUGCAAAAUCGUAAGAUCAAGCUAAUCUCUCAAAUUUUGCCUCAGUACGGAUUGAGGGCUGCAAUUCGCCCUCAUGAAGCUGGAAUCGCUAGUAAUCGUGGGCCAGCUAUACCACGGUGAAUACGUUCUCGAG
rnacentral:rRNA from 1 species